CAGCAUGGUGUAGCAAUACACUGAUGGCGACCGGCAAACGGGUGCGGAACACGUACGCAACCUUCCUUUAACUGGAGAAUAGCCCGGGGAAACCCGGAUUAAUACUCCGUAACAUUAUGAAGUGGCAUCACUUUAUAAUUAUAGCUCCGGCGGUUGAAGAUGGGCGUGCGUCUGAUUAGGUAGUUGGCGGGGUAACGGCCCACCAAGCCUACGAUCAGUAACUGGUGUGAGAGCACGACCAGUCACACGGGCACUGAGACACGGGCCCGACUCCUACGGGAGGCAGCAGUAAGGAAUAUUGGUCAAUGGACGCAAGUCUGAACCAGCCAUGCCGCGUGGAGGAUGAAGGUCCUCUGGAUUGUAAACUUCUUUUAUUUGGGAAGAAACCACCGAUUUCUAUUGGUGUUGACGGUACCAGAUGAAUAAGCACCGGCUAACUCCGUGCCAGCAGCCGCGGUAAUACGGAGGGUGCAAGCGUUAUCCGGAUUCACUGGGCUUAAAGGGUGCGUAGGCGGGUUGGUAAGUCCGUGGUGAAAUCUCCAAGCUUAACUUGGAAACUGCCGUGGAUACUAUCAAUCUUGAAUAUAGUGGAGGUGAGCGGAAUAUGUCAUGUAGCGGUGAAAUGCUUAGAUAUGACAUAGAACACCCAUUGCGAAGGCAGCUCGCUACACUAUUAUUGACGCUGAGGCACGAAAGCGUGGGGAUCAAACAGGAUUAGAUACCCUGGUAGUCCACGCCCUAAACGAUGAUUACUCGACAUCAGCGAUACACUGUUGGUGUCUGAGCG
rnacentral:rRNA from 1 species